CCCCCCCGCGCGGUCGCCGACUCCCUCCGGCCGGCUCCGCCUCCGCCUUGUGCAGCAUCGACCUCCCCGAGUUCUCUUUCUCUGGUGGGGGAGCUGCUGGCCACAAUCUAGACGAGUUGGGGUUCUGCUGUUGCAUUUUGCUAGGGGCUGCUGCGUCUGUUUUGCUCUCUACUUGUGUGUCUGCGUGAUCCUUCUUUGUGAGCUUCUGUUGUACUAGCAUUGGUGGACAUUUAUCUUCAUAUGUGGGAAGAGGGGAUGAGUUUUAAUAAUGAAGCCUGUAAUGCAAAGAACGGGUGGGCACCUGCAAAGUGGUGAUGAGGAAGGAGUCUUGCAGGAGGAAGUUUCAGAGCUAGAUGGUCUAGCAUCCACGUUGAUUUAUGAAAAUAAUGCAAAUGUUGACCACCAUGUUGAUUUAUGACUGUUUAUGUUCUGAAAGAUGCAAAUGUUGACCACCACGUUGAUUUAUGAAAAUAGUAAGUAUCAAUCGAACUUUACUGUUUAUGUUCUGAAAGAUGCAAAUGUUGACCACCACAUUCUUUAGUUUCAUGCGAGCACUGAAAUAAUCGUGAUGAUCUUGUAGAAUUUCCGAGCAGUUAUGUCAUUGGUAUUCAUUUAUUAGUUUGUUUAGGUAUGUGUGUAUGCACACGUGUGUGGCAAGUAAUUUUAUAUGUCUCCCUCAAGCUACGUGCAAUCUAAUUUACUGAGCCUUGUUUUAAUAAAUAGUUUUUGUUCUAGCUAAUUUCAAAUUGUGUUCUACCUCCUGAACUUUAUCUUACAUCCUCUGACUUGGGAAGCUAACAUGGGUGCUCU